AGCUCCCUGUCUCAACUAGAAUGCCAAAUACUGUACUACUAUACAAGGUUACCACAAAUAUUAGUAGCAGUUAGUUUUGUUGCAAACAAGUAUUCUUUAGUAAAAUUCUACUUUCUGAAACACAAAAGCACUAUAGUUUGGUGUUAAAAGGGAACUUAAAUAUUUAGUAGAAUCAAUUAUUCAGCUUUAUUAAUCAGAAAAAUAUUAAAGUUUCAUGACAAAACUAUAAAAUAAAGAUAUCUACGGUGGAAAUUUUGCUGGUGAAGGUAUUCUGUCAGUUUGGGGAUCUGUCUGAUCUCUCAUAUUUGGCUUUAGAAUCGGUUGCUUGAUUCCCGUCUCUUGCUGCUUCCCAUCUGCAUCUCAACCACAUCCCUUUCAUGAUCGUGUGGUUGAUGCAUGUGCACCAUCAUGUGACCUAACUUCUGCCACUUAUACACUGGUGGGAAAGUUUGCUGAGAGGUCUAAGUUUAGCUCUUUUUGUGGAUAAUUAAAGUUCUUGGAGUACCCUGUACUUUAAGAGCUAGUAUAUCAGGUCAAAUAGGGACAGGCCCUCUAUGCAACCUAGAGGACAGCAGUGGCUAUUAAUGAAUGCUUGAGGAAGGCAUGUAAAUAAUGUCUUGAACUGUAGAAUUUCAAAGGCUUUCAGUAUAUUUUUUAAAAUACUGCUGUUUAAAAAUGCAUUUCAGAUAGGCCUAAGACCAAUGUUAUCAAAGCUGCUAAAGUCAAUUUCUUUCUGUAUAGCCUGCUGCUGUUUAUUUCUUGUUGCUGUUGUUACCUCUCAAAUAGCAUUUUUAUGGUUUACAGUAAAGUGUCCACAGUAAACAAAAAUGACCAUGAAAUCCUAACAAACAAACAAAGUAAAUUAAAAUGUUAUGUUCUUUCAGUUGCAUUAAAUACAAUUUAAUUAAAAUUAAGUUUAAUAUCUGAAAUUAUUUCCAGUAGCAGGUAAUAAAUGUUUAAAUAAAAUCCUUAUUUUGAAGAUGAGUUUUUCUUCUCUAUUUAGGUAGUGUGGCAGAGUUUGUGUAUCGUUCAUGUAUCAUGUAUCGCGUAUAUAAACUGUUACUGUAGUUCAUGCUUUGGAACAGAGGGACAUUACUGAACUAAUACAAGGCAAAUUUCUUUCAUAAUUCAGCUUGUGUCGUUGGGUAAUCAUGGUUUUAUAAAACACUUCAACUUUUUUUUUUUCUUUUACGUUUGGGUUGUUUCAGUGACUUUUUUAAUUUUUUUUUUUUUUUUUUACUUUUUAUUAGCAAUGCUGUACCAUAUUAAAUCAUUUCUUCAUGCAUGAAAGAAAGGUGUAAACUUGAAUACAAAUCCAAAAUGGAGAUCCUUAUCAGAGCAAAAUUGGAGGAACAAAAUAAAACCACAGUAUUGAAGCAGAGAUUCCCAAACUUACUCUACUGAAGUUCGGUCACUGGCAUUGAUGAUUAAAGGACUGUUGGUGCCGAUGGUGUUAAUUUCUCUGGUUUUAUAGGUGUAUCUCAGAGUAGGACCUCUAGCCUAUGUUCAUCAACCUGUGAGACACACCUGAAAGCAGGACCCAACUCUGUGCUUCCUGCCUCGCUUACUGGUUUAUCACCCCCCGCUUCACUCCAUCCUAGUCUCAUAUAUCAAAAUCUACUUAAGUACAGCAGGGCCACUUCGAAAAUUGCUCUCAAAACAGUACCUGCUUAAAAGAUGUUUAAAGUGAAAUGAAAGUGUGAUACUGGUUACAGGUGUAGCUGGGAAGUACUAUAACGUGCCAUGCUUAGGAAUAAUGUAUGGCAAGUAACUGGUCCCACAUACCCUUCUGCAGAUAAGUAAUCCUAUCAAAAGCAGUUGAGUGCAUUUGAUUAAGGAUUACAUGCGAUUAGCAGUCUGCAAGGUUAAGAGUACGACCUGUAUCAUUAAUGAGUAUUCACAUAUUAAUGCUGCUUUGAGCAGGAGGUUGAACUAGAUGACCUCUGAGGUCUGUUCCAACUAGAAUGAUUUUAUGAUUAUCACACUUGUAUUAUGCAAGUAGAUAAUUCAUCUAUAAAAAACAUAUUAAUUGAAUAAGCGAACCUCUAGCAAGUCAUUGCAAUUAUUUUACCUAUUGCAUCAUGUUGUAGCAUGGAGUUGCAAAUUUGACCCAAAUUUAAGAUUUGAAACAGUAAGAGAAAUACAUGCAUGCCUUUUUGUCUAUUGCAUUGAAUUCCUUGUAUACAGUUUUAUAUCAGAUUUAAUUUCUUGUAUAGGAUUCCUUCCUAGCAUACAGUUGACUCUGUUCAAGUUCUGGAACUAGUCCAGAGUAGAGUGCCUGAAUAUUUGAUGCUUUAUGUGCAGUUGAGCUGUGUGAAUGCACUUAAGCUUACUCUGCCUAAUUCAAGUACCGCUAGCACUGAGACUACAGUAACAAAGCUAUCAGUGCAGGUUAGCGGUCUAAGAAAGGCUUGAGGCCUUAAAAACUUUCCAAAGCAAGGAUUCAGAAUGUGAGAUGGCAUUCUUAUAUUUAAAAAAAAAAACAAACCUACCACCACCCCAAAAAAACCCUAACGACCCCCCCCACUGUUAGUCUAUACUAUGUAGAUUCUGAAUAUAUGUAAAUGUCAAGACACAACUGGUUGAGUUUACAUGUUAAUACAUGUUAAGUGAAUAUUAAGAUGAACAGUCUUUAUCAUUAUUUAAGAAAUUGUAUUUUGAUUAACAGUAGUAUGAUCCUUCUCAUUAAGAUGUGGGGGGAAUUCAUAUGGGUUUCCUUCCUGUGUUUGGAUAAAAUUUGUACCUAUUGAUACCUCUUUAACUGUUCUCAUUUAGGAUUGUUAAUUAUUUACUUUUAAGCAAGAAGUGGGUGAUGAGGGAGGAAAAAAUUACUGGCUGUAAAAGGCCAAUCACUUUCACGUGCAUGUGACCAGAAAUGUUUUUAUGUAACAUUUUAACCCUUCCAAAUAUGUGAAUUAACCACAGUAACAGAAUAUAGUUGUUGUCAUGUCUUAUUGGUAGCAGCAUAUUUCAGGGAAAUACUUUGUUGUUUGUAUGCUUUUAUUUAAAAAGAAAAGGAGGAUGGUAACAUAGUAAGUAAUCUGUUAAGGACUUGACAGGUCUUCUGGACUGUUAGGGAGUAUGGAAAGCAAUUAAAAAGAGUAAGAAGCACUAAGGAGCGGAGUGAUUUCUUUAUACUACUCUUCACCACAAAGAUGUUGUGGACAUUUUGUUCUUUUCAAAUAAUGUUGAUGGGACAUUAUCUGAUUAUCAGAUUAGAGAAUCAAAAGAUUGAAUGCUAGAAUAAAGUGCUAAAGACCCCUAAGUCAUGAGGAUUCGAUGUGAUUCAUUCAUUCAGUGGUUCUAAAGGAUGAAGUGGCUGAUCUGCUAAGAAGAAUGCAUCUCGUUAGGAUGAGAUGCUGUGCCAGAAGACUGGAAGCUAUCAAGUGUUGUACGUACCGUACUUUUAAACUGAACACAAGGAGCAGAUCUGGAACUUGCAGACCAAGGACUUGUAUUUUAAUGCCACCACAGUCAUUUGUGUCAUCAUGCAGUGACUUGGAUCAAAAAAUUGAUCCUGACUUCAAGAGGAGUCUAUGGCAAGCAUCAAUUUUUAACCCAGUUCAAUUUUUUCAGAUUAUCUGUAAAUUUUCAAUAAUGGCAAUACAUUCAUUCUGCCAUUUGGAGGAGCCUGUGCCACAGAAUAAUGAUCUGAUGAAAGCUCACUUACUUGCAAUGAAGAGUCUUCAUUUGGGAAAUAGUACUGAUGCAGCUAAGAGGUGCUUUUUCAAGUUCAGCAGAACUAUUAUUGUUCCUAGCACAACCUCCUGUACAUGGACAAAAUUGGGUUUUCCUCAACGAAGAGA